rnacentral:rRNA from 1 species
UACAGAGGUGGCAAGCGUUGUUCGGAAUUACUGGGCGUAAAGGGCGCGUAGGCGGUCUUGCAAGUCCUGUGUGAAAUCCCUCGGCUCAACUGAGGAACUGCACAGGAAACUGCUUGGCUUGAGUUCGGGAGAGGGAAGCGGAAUUCCGGGUGUAGCGGUGAAAUGCGUAGAUAUCCGGAGGAACACCGGUGGCGAAGGCGGCUUCCUGGACCGACACUGACGCUGAGGCGCGAAAGCGUGGGGAGCAAACAGG